UAGCUCAGUUGGUAGAGCAGUGGACUGAAAAUCCUCGUGUCACCAGUUCAAAUCUGGUUCUUGGCAUUAAUAA
rnacentral:tRNA from 1 species